AUAACCUUGCGAAAGUAAGACUAAUACCCAAUGAUAUCCCACGAAGGCAUCCGAAUGGGAUUAAGAUUUAUCGGUGAUGGAUGGGGAUGCGUCUGAUUAGCUUGUUGGCGGGGUAACGGCCCACCAAGGCAACGAUCAGUAGGGGUUCUGAGAGGAAGGUCCCCCACAUUGGAACUGAGACACGGUCCAAACUCCUACGGGAGGCAGCAGUGAGGAAUAUUGGUCAAUGGGCGAGAGCCUGAACCAGCCAAGUAGCGUGCAGGAUGACGGCCCUAUGGGUUGUAAACUGCUUUUAUGCGGGGAUAAAGCGGGCGACGUGUCGCCCCUUGCAGGUACCGCAUGAAUAAGGACCGGCUAAUUCCGUG
rnacentral:rRNA from 1 species